GUCUCAUCCGAUCACCGAAGUUAAGCAACGUCGUGCCUCGUCAGUACCUAGAUCGGUGACUGCUUGUAAUACCAGGUGCUGUAAG